rnacentral:rRNA from 1 species
GUGAAAUGCGUAGAGAUCAGGAAGAACACCAAAGGCGAAGGCACGUUCCUGGGGAGUUACUGACGCUGAGGUGCGAGAGCUAGGGGAGCAAACGGGAUUAGAUACCCCGGUAGUCCUAGCCGUAAACGAUGACCACCAGGUGUGGGAGGUAUCGACCCCUUCCGUGCCGGCGCUAACGCUUUGAGUGGUCCGCCUGGGGAGUACGGUCGCAAGAUUAAAACUCAAAGGAAUUGACGGGGACCCGCACAAGCAGCGGAGCGUGUGGUUUAAUUCGAUGCAACGCGAAGAACCUUACCAGGGUUUGACAUGUCAUUGCACCGCUCUGAGAGGAGCGUGCCCGCAAGGGACGGUGACACAGGUGCUGCAUGGCUGUCGUCAGCUCGUGUCGUGAGAUGUUGGGUUAAGUCCCGCAACGAGCGCAACCCCCAUCGUCGGUUACAAGUGUCCGACGAGACUGCCACGAUCAACGUGGAGGAAGGCGGGGAUGACGUCAAGUCAGCACGGCCCUUACAUCCUGGGCGACACACACGCUACAAUGGUCGGGACAAAAGGACGCCAACCCGCGAGGGGGAGCCAAUCCAGUAAACUCGAUCUCAGUUCAGAUUGCAGGCUGCAACCCGCCUGCAUGAAGGAGGAGUUGCUAGUAACCGUGCGUCAGCACAGCACGGUGAAUACGUUCCCGGGUCUUGUACACACCGCCCGUCACACCACGAAAGUCGGCAACACCUGAAGCCGCUGGGCUAACUCGCAAGAGAGGCAAGCGUCGAGGGUGGGGUCGGUGAUUGGGGUGAAGUCGUAACAAGGUAACCGU